rnacentral:rRNA from 1 species
UGAGGAACAUGACCUUCGGCGGGGGAGUAGCCGGCCCAACGGCCGGGUAAUACCGCGUACGACCACAUGGGGACAUCCCUGAGUGGUGAAAGCAGCAAUGCGCCGAUGGAGUGCCUUCGCGGCCUAUCAGCUAGUUGGUGAGGUAACGGCUCACCAAGGCGACGACGGGUAACUGGUCUGAGAGGAUGGCCAGCCACACUGGGACUGAGACACGGCCCAGACUCCUAGGGAGG